UGAGAUAGCUGAGUCGGUAGAGCAUGAGAUUUUUGAUCUCAUGGUCAUUGGUUUGAGUCCUACGCAGGGCAAAA